rnacentral:rRNA from 1 species
UACGUAGGUGACGAGCGUUAUCCGGAAUUACUGGGCGUAAAGCGCCCGCAGGCGGUUGGACAAGUCUGGCGUGAAAUCCUCUGGCUUAACCAGGGGCGGUCGCUGGAGACUGUUCGGCUUGAGGCGAUGAGAGGGGUGCAGAAUUCCCGGUGUAGUGGUGGAAUGCGUAGAGAUCGGGAGGAAUACCAGUGGCGAAAGCGGCACCCUGGCGUCGUACUGACGCACAUGUGCGAAAGCGUGGGGAGCGAACGGG